rnacentral:rRNA from 1 species
UACGUAGGGUGCGAGCGUUAAUCGGAAUUGCUGGGCGUAAAGCGUGCGCAGGCGGUGAUGUAAGACAGGUGUGAAAUCCCCGGGCUUAACCUGGGAACUGCAUUUGUGACUGCAUCGCUGGAGUGCGGCAGAGGGGGAUGGAAUUCCGCGUGUAGCAGUGAAAUGCGUAGAUAUGCGGAGGAACACCGAUGGCGAAGGCAAUCCCCUGGGCCUGCACUGACGCUCAUGCACGAAAGCGUGGGGAGCAAACAGG